rnacentral:rRNA from 1 species
GACGAACGCUGGCGGCGUGCUUAACACAUGCAAGUCGAACGAUGAAGAAGAGAAACGCGAACUUCGGUUCAAAUUUCACUUCGGAUUAGUGGCAGACGGGUGAGUAACGCGUGAGCAACCUACCUCUUACAAAGGGAUAGCCUCGGGAAACCGUGAUUAAUACCAUAUGACACAUUCAUAAGGCAUCUUAAGAAUGUUAAAGCUACGGCGGUAAGAGAUGGGCUCGCGUCCCAUUAGCUAGUUGGUGAGGUAACGGCCCACCAAGGCGACGAUGGGUAACCGGCCUGAGAGGGUGAACGGUCACAUUGGAACUGAGACACGGUCCAAACUCCUACGGGAGGCAGCAGUGGGGAAUAUUGCACAAUGGAGGGAACGCUGAUGCAGCGACGCCGCGUGAGCGAUGAAGGAAUUCGUUUCGUAAAGCUCUGUUCUAUGGGAAGAAAAGGACUGUACCAUAGGAGAAAGCCCCGGCUAAAUACGUG